UACGUAGGGUGCGAGCGUUGUCCGGAAUUAUUGGGCGUAAAGAGCUCGUAGGCGGUCUGUCGCGUCGGUCGUGAAAACUUGGGGCUUAACCCUGAGCUUGCGGUCGAUACGGGCAUGACUGGAGUUCGGCAGGGGAGACUGGAACUCCUGGUGUAGCGGUGAAAUGCGCAGAUAUCAGGAGGAACACCGGUGGCGAAGGCGGGUCUCUGGGCCGAUACUGACGCUGAGGCGCGAAAGCCAGGGGAGCGAACGGG
rnacentral:rRNA from 1 species